rnacentral:rRNA from 1 species
ACCGUGUCUGGUGGGUAGUUUGACUGGGGCGGUCUCCUCCCAAAGAGUAACGGAGGAGCACGAAGGUUGGCUAAGCAUGGUCGGACAUCAUGCGGUUAGUGCAAAGGCAUAAGCCAGCUUGACUGCGAGAGUGACGGCUCGAGCAGGUACGAAAGUAGGUCUUAGUGAUCCGGUGGUUCUGAAUGGAAGGGCCAUCGCUCAACGGAUAAAAGGUACUCCGGGGAUAACAGGCUGAUACCGCCCAAGAGUUCAUAUCGACGGCGGUGUUUGGCACCUCGAUGUCGGCUCAUCACAUCCUGGGGCUGAAGUAGGUCCCAAGGGUAUGGCUGUUCGCCAUUUAAAGUGGUACGCGAGCUGGGUUUAGAACGUCGUGAGACAGUUCGGUCCCUAUCUGCCGUGGGCGCUGGAAGAUUGAGAGGGGUUGCUCCUAGUACGAGAGGACCGGAGUGAACGCACCACUGGUGUACGGGUUGUGAUGCCAAUUGCAUUGCCCGGUAGCUAAGUGCGGAAGAGAUAACCGCUGAAAGCAUCUAAGCGGGAAACUUGCCUCGAGAUGAGUCUUCCCUGACCCUUUAAGGGUCCUGAAGGAACGUUUGAGACUAAGACGUUGAUAGGCUGGGUGUGU